GCACCGAUGGUGUCAUCCGGACAGCUACAGUUCAGACGGCAAAGAGCAUUUUGGAUCGGGGCGUCAAAAGGCUUGUCCCACUGCCAAUUCAACCCGAUCUCGAGAAACCCGAACAACUAGCCACCGAGCCGAAAUAAGAUGGGAACUUCAACCACACCUCGCUAGUUUGAUCGGUACCCUCUCAACGGGGGGAGAAUGUUACGCCAUGCGGCUUACCAUAGGUCAUAUUCUUAACUAUCGAUCGCGGCACUAUAAUGUCGCAGACGGAUCGUCGCGUCUGCCCGGCAAACAAACAUUGUAGUGGCAAGCGCAUGGUUCAUUAAGCAGGGCGACUUCCAGAAACGUCGACUCGUGGCCCGUAUUUUACCUCGCAGUAAAAGAAUGUGGCGUGAUCCGAACGUAGUGGGGGUCGCCUUCCAGAAAAAACGAAAAAAAUCGAAAGGCGUUCAGAACUUUUCGAGAAGUCGAACCGUCAACACAUGUGGGCAAUCCGGUGGACUUGAUCGGCUUUUUACUUCGAAAGUUGAGUAAUCGGUGUCGCUUUCUUACGCAUCUUUGAACUGUAUAAAUGUUUUAAAAUUGUUUGAUCCAGAAUGUACCACACCGGACAAUCAAGAAGGCAGGUGCCUUGACUACAGAAAAUGUAAACCUCUGCAAGAAAUAUGGCAGAUACAGUACCGUACAGCCACCGAUUUUUAUAGACGAUCAGUGUGCAGAUACCAGGUCAAUGUUACGAUCGUUUGCUGUCCGAACGAUCCAAACAAAGAGAAGAGAGAAAUUUUAAUAAAAACUGUGUAUAAGUAUAAGGCUUUGCGACCACCAUACUGUGGUUUUAGCAACGUCUCUCAUAACAGGGUGGUCGAUGGUAAACCAGCUGAACUUGGCGCUUGGCCAUGGAAUGCUGCAUUAGGUUUUCGUAAUCCCCGAAACCCAGACAAACCACUAUGGAAGUGCGGAGGUUCCCUGAUAUCGGCUAGGCAUGUUUUGACCGCAGCACAUUGUGCACAUAUGGAUGGAAUAGAAAACAUACACAAACAUAAUAUUGCCAUUCUUAGAUUGGUGGAGGAGGUGCCAUUUUCGAGUAAGUCCUCAAAUAUAUAUAUAUAUAUAUGCUAUUGAGUAUUGCUGAAGUAUCAUAUCCUGAAAUUUCUUACUGUACACAUAUAUUGUGUCAUAAAGCGUGUACAAUUCUUUCUCAUACUUUUGGUCAUUCGUUUCCUGCAUUUUCAUUUAUUUUUUUAUUUUUCAGGGUACGUAUAUCCCAUUUGUACGAAAGAGCAACUUCGUCGGCUAUAACCCCCUUGUUGCUGGAUGGGGAGCGUUAAGAUAUAGCAAGUGAUAUCAAUUUUAUAAUAAAAUUAAACAGUUCCAGUCUUAAAUAUCUUUCUCAUUUUCUUCGUAGGACGACCACGACCUAAUGCAUUAAUGGAAGUACAAAUGCCAGUGAUUAAGAACGCCGAAUGCAAAAUAGCUUAUUCCAAAUUUCCUAAUGCACCUGAUAUCACUGAUGGUAUAAUAUGCGCCGAACAUGCUCAGGGUGGAGAGGAUUCUUGUACGGUAAUUAAGUUACAGAGUUACUACAAACUAUACGGUAUCUGAAGACACGUCAAUUCGAAUUAACAUCAAAUCGACGUCUUAAACAUUAAAAAUAAUAGAUAAACACAAUUUAAUAGUUUUGCCCACUUCUCACACCUCGUUAUGGUAUUUAAUCUAAUUUCCUUCUAAUCUUAGUUUUGCUCAAAAUACAUAUAACAUGUACGUUAUAAAUUGGAGUAUUUCAAUACACAAAUCAAUAGAAGAUUAUUACUGUAUAUAAGUAUAAUUUCAAUGCAAUUCGAUCGAUAUAUUUCAGUAUCUUUGAUUAAAAAUUUAACGAUCCUUUCAGGCUGACCGUGGCGGACCACUGCUGAUACAACAUGAAUUAACCUCGUAUUUAAUAGGUAUUGUGUCUUAUGCUUAUAAGUGUGGCACAGCUGGGUAUCCCAGCGUUUACACUAGGGUCACAUCGUACCUUGACUUCAUUCUCCAAGCGAUGCAAUAAUAUGAUAUUACUGUUCCAUAAAUAUCAUUGUGUAAAAAACGUAAAGUUGGAUUUUCUUAUUGUGGAGAUAAGAAACAGCUCAAAUUUACAUUGUUUUGUACGUUACAAAUUAUAGGCUUAAAAUGUACGAAAUGUAACUUUGAAACGACACUAAUUUUUUACGCACGAUAAACCUCCACGACUUAGAUUAUAGAUUCCUAUACGACUCUCAGUAAAAAUUUAUCCGCACUCCAGAUAGUUAAAACUUCUGUCGACCGUAUUGAUCCAUCUGCACUCUUCGUAUGACGUCAAUAUCUGUUCAGUGCUGCUGCGCAGGUUUCUUUGUGUUACGUCAAUUCGUUUGUGACCGUUGCGCGAGUAAUGGCGCUUUGCAAUGGUGAUUUGCAGGAAAACAGUGCAGGAUGCUGUGAUUCGUUUCUUGUGGUCGGAGGUUAUGUUUGAUGCCUAUAUUUAUCAAAGAUUUAAUGCACAUUAUGGAGAAAGUGUUUUGUCACGAAGUGUGUUUGAAUGGGCACAAAAGUUCAAAGAAGAUCGCACAAGUGUUAUGAAAAAACAGCUGGACGCCCGUCCACAUCCACGAUGACAACAUUGAACGUGCUCAUGAACUUAUGCUCUAUGGAAUAGACGAGUGACACUGGAUAAUGUGGCAAAUCAUUUGCAAAUCAGCCACGGCUCUGCUUAUGCAAUAGUGCACGACAGAUUUGGAUUUUAAAAAGUUUGUGCGAGAUGGAUGCCGGAAAAGCUGAUGAAAAGGUGAAGACGACGAUGCAUUCGUGGUUCGCAGCUCAGCCCAAAACAUUUUUUAAUGAGAAAAUAUAAAGGUCCUUCGGCAAAUGGACAAAGUGUAUACAGAAAUCGAGUGAUUAUGUCAAAAAAUGAUGUAUGUCUUUUUUGACAAUUGCUUAAAAUAAAUUCUACACCGACAGAGCGGGCUGUUAAUCUAGAGGCUGGAGUACAAAGAAGUGGCACAAUGAUGUGGGCUGAUGACAUUUAUAAUUAUCAAGGAAUCACCCCUACAUUCGCUCAGAAUUUUAAUGAAACUGUCCCUUGGGAAGGAAGAACUGAUACCUUGAUAUCACGGUUUGUACAUCCUAUAUAUACGACAAAUUUUAGAACCUUAUAUAACGAAGAACCAGAUCGUCGUGGCCAUGUGAUGUGAAUAAAAGGACUUGAAUUUGAUGAUAUUUUUAUAAUGUUAGAUAACAUAACUAAGUAUCUUCACAGUAAGAUAGGAUGACAUGGUUUACAUGAUCUUAAUGUUGUUCACUCGAGUGAUGAUAUUAUAAGGAAAAGUGUAAUAUCACAGGAUAUUUAUGUUUAGUAACCAGUAAUUCAGAGAUUGGUAUUCAUGGUUACUAUAACGAGGCUGUAGAAACGCACCCUUUCUUCUUUGCAAAUGGUCCUGUAUUUAUGUCUAAGCCGAAACUGGAACCUCUGAAUAAUUUAGAUUUAUUCUUGUUAUUUUCUAAAAUACUUAUCUACAGUAUACCAUAAGGAAUGAUACCGUAUCGCACCUAAUCAAGUGCCUUAAGAAACAUCAACAGGAUAUCACAGUAAUCCCUUAUCGACUGAUAUUUGUAGCCACUACAAUAUCUAUGACACUGGUAGUAAUUAUGAGAACAAUAAUGAUGUGUUCUAUAAGAGGAAAUGAUGAUUAGGAACAAAAACUUACAGGAGAUAUCAUGCGGUGGAUGGAUAAUAUGUAAAAAAUAUUAAGCAGUAUAUGAAUUUUCAUAUUGCGUAGAGAUAACAAAAUGAAUUUUAAAAAAUGUCGACACGGUAAUAAGAAAUAGCAUCGUGACAAAGAAUAUAUAAAGACAGUUUCAUUUUUUAUAAAUAAAAAUUUGUUGUUCCAGAUUUUGAAA